GGCGGCGUGCUUAACACAUGCAAGUCGAGCGGAAAGGCCCCUUCGGGGGUACUCGAGCGGCGAACGGGUGAGUAACACGUGAGCAACCUGCCCCUGACUCUGGGAUAAGCCCGGGAAACUGGGUCUAAUACCGGAUACGACCACUCCUUGCAUGGUUGGUUGGUGGAAAGUUUUUCGGUUGGGGAUGGGCUCGCGGCCUAUCAGCUUGUUGGUGGGGUGAUGGCCUACCAAGGCGACGACGGGUAACCGGCCUGAGAGGGCGACCGGUCACACUGGGACUGAGACACGGCCCAGACUCCUACGGGAGGCAGCAGUGGGGAAUAUUGCGCAAUGGGCGGAAGCCUGACGCAGCGACGCCGCGUGAGGGAUGACGGCCUUCGGGUUGUAAACCUCUUUCAGCAGGGACGAAGCUAACGUGACGGUACCUGCAGAAGAAGCGCCGGCUAACUACGUGCCAGCAGCCGCGGUAAUACGUAGGGCGCAAGCGUUGUCCGGAAUUAUUGGGCGUAAAGAGCUCGUAGGCGGUUUGUCGCGUCUGUCGUGAAAGCCCACGGCUUAACCGUGGGUCUGCGGUGGAUACGGGCAGACUAGAGGCAGGUAGGGGAGAAUGGAAUUCCCGGUGUAGCGGUGAAAUGCGCAGAUAUCGGGAGGAACACCGGUGGCGAAGGCGGUUCUCUGGGCCUGUACUGACGCUGAGGAGCGAAAGCGUGGGGAGCGAACAGGAUUAGAUACCCUGGUAGUCCACGCCGUAAACGUUGGGCGCUAGGUGUGGGGUUCUUCCACGGAUUCCGCGCCGUAGCUAACGCAUUAAGCGCCCCGCCUGGGGAGUACGGCCGC
rnacentral:rRNA from 1 species